GCGAAGGUGGCGGAAUUGGUAGACGCGCUAGCUUCAGGUGUUAGUGUCCUUACGGACGUGGGGGUUCAAGUCCCCCCCCUCGUACCA
rnacentral:tRNA from 9 species